UCAUAUUUAUUAUUGGCAGGCAUAUAUAGCAAGCAUGUGUUGCACAGUACAUGAUACAAAAUUGACUGAAAAGAUAGUUGCUAUUUGCUCUAGUCUUAUCAUUUUGGUUUAUGCUGAGCUUUAUCAGCUACACACACAAAUACAUCCAUGCGUAGCUUGUGCGUUUGCACAUAUAUAGAUAUUUUUUGUAGGUUGGAUUAUAAUCAAAGAAACAAGGGCUUCUACUGCUGCACUAAUAUUAUAUCUUUAUUUAAAUAUGUGGGCUGUUGGAUGCAUUUUUGCCGAGCUUUUGACUUGGAAGCCACUGUUUCAAGGAGCUGAAGUCAAAGCUACCCCAAAUCAAUUUCAGUUUGAUCAACUUGACAAGAUAUUCAAGGUCUUAGGUCAUCCCACUAUAGAAAAGUGGCCAACACUUGCAAAUCUUCCGCUGGCAAAAUGAUUUACAGCAUAUUCAAGGCCACAAGUAUGACAAUCACGGGCUUCAGGGUUUUGUAAACAUCUCUUCAAAAAGUCCUGCAUUUGACCUCUUAUCUAAGAUGCUUGAUGGUUGCUUGGAUAAACUUUUAAGGAGGCCGGAUGCUGGGCAGCCACGGCGGCGACGGUCUCCACAGCAGGCGCGCGUACCGCGGCAGGGGGUUUCCUUGGACGCAGGCUCCACGGCAGGCGGCGACGGUCUCCUCGGCUCUAGCACCUCAGCUCGCGGCGACGGCGUGGGGUUCUCGGACGCGGCGUGCGUCUCGGCGACAGCGUGCAUCUCGGCGGCGCGGGUUCUGGGUUCACGCUGAGAGGUCUAUAUUGAGAUGCAUUUUUUUGGCGCAAUACUAGACAACAUUGGCAGCUGAAGUUUUUAGAAUAAAAAAUAUAUUUCACUAACAUUGUAUACAUUUCUUGUUUAAUAUUUGGUGAUGAUAGAAUUUGAUUGUAGUAUAAACUAUCAUGUAAUAUGAUUUUGUAAGCCGAGUAGACUAAAUAUUAAAAUUAUAUUUUUGAGUAAUUAAUAAAAAAUUCUUUU